rnacentral:rRNA from 1 species
UACGUAGGGUGCGAGCGUUAAUCGGAAUUACUGGGCGUAAAGCGUGCGCAGGCGGUUUUGUAAGCCAGAUGUGAAAUCCCCGGGCUUAACCUGGGAAUGGCAUUUGGGACUGCAAGGCUGGAGUUUGGCAGAGGAGACUGGAAUUCCUGGUGUAGCAGUGAAAUGCGUAGAUAUCAGGAGGAAUACCGAUGGCGAAGGCAGGUCUCUGGGCUGAAACUGACGCUGAGGAGCGAAAGCGUGGGGAGCGAACAGGA